rnacentral:rRNA from 1 species
GACGAACGCUGGCGGCGUGCUUAACACAUGCAAGUCGAACGAUGAAGAAGAGAAACGCGAACUUCGGUUCAAAUUUCACUUCGGAUUAGUGGCAGACGGGUGAGUAACGCGUGAGCAACCUACCUCUUACAAGGGGAUAGCCUCGGGAAACCGUGAUUAAUACCAUAUGACACAUUCAUAAGGCAUCUUAAGAAUGUUAAGGCUACGGCGGUAAGAGAUGGGCUCGCGUCCCAUUAGCUAGUUGGUGAGGUAACGGCCCACCAAGGCGACGAUGGGUAACCGGCCUGAGAGGGUGAACGGUCACAUUGGAACUGAGACACGGUCCAAACUCCUACGGGAGGCAGCAGUGGGGAAUAUUGCACAAUGGAGGGAACUCUGAUGCAGCGACGCCGCGUGAGCGAUGAAGGAAUUCGUUUCGUAAAGCUCUGUUCUAUGGGAAGAAAAGGACUGUACCAUAGGAGAAAGCCCCGGCUAAAUACGUG